CGAAUGCUGACAUAAGUAACGAUAAAGCGGGUGAAAAGCCCGCUCGCCGGAAGACCAAGGGUUCCUGUCCAACGUUAAUCGGGGCAGGGUGAGUCGACCCCUAAGGCGAGGCCGAAAGGCGUAGUCGAUGGGAAACAGGUUAAUAUUCCUGUACUUGGUGUUACUGCGAAGGGGGGACGGAGAAGGCUAUGUUGGCCGGGCGACGGUUGUCCCGGUUUAAGCGUGUAGGCUGGUUUUCCAGGCAAAUCCGGAAAA
rnacentral:rRNA from 1 species